rnacentral:lncRNA from 1 species
AAAUAUACAUAGGCUUACAUUCUGUACUUCUUCAGUCCUCAGUCUGAAAAAAAAAAAACCUAACAGAUAAUGCUUUUGAAACUCAAUUAUAUCAUGAUGAAUAAAGGGACUUACCACUAAACACGACUGUAGCAUUAAUUUUUAGAAAUGUUAAAUAUACUUUUUAGAAAUGGAUUUUCCUGAUUUGGGUCACUUCCCUUUGACCUGAAGGAAUAUUUGCAAUACAUCUCAACUUUUCCUCUCUAUCUGAAUAAAAGCUUCUCUACCCUUCCUGUACUCUUCUCUGUCUGUAGAGCUGGCUGAAAGGGUUCUUUUUGCCAAUCUACUCCACAGGAGCCCUGUGAGAAUUUAUGGCUUCUUUGUGGUCAAGAGCAGAUUUCUGGUAUCUGAGUAACUCAGGCAGAAGCACAUGCUCUGUCUCCCUUUUUAUUUGGUGGGGCAAAGCGGAGUAUUUAAAUUUUCAGAUCAGUUACCUUAAUCCUUUUCUAUGUUAGCCCUAAAAACUAGUCUGUGGUUGUUGCUUGAGAGUGACGGUGUGUGAAUGUUUCAGUUGCUGCCAGGUGAGACUCAAUCUCAUCUCAUUCUUUCAGGACCUCAGGGGAUCUUUUGCUACAUUGCUCAAAUCCCCUCUCAGUUCCCCUACAUUUGUUAAACUGAGGCCCAGAGAUUACACUUAAGCCUAGCAGUGCAUGCUGCUCUAAUGCUGAUCAUUAACUGCCUGUCCAGAUGGUCCCUGCUCUCACUGACAGAUAGUAAGUCUAAAUUGUUCAUCUCCAGUGUUUCUUGUAGACUGCCCAAUAUGUUUACUGUGGUCCAAUUACAGGAGGGUGACAUUAAGCAGAUCUGAUGCUAACAUUCUGGCACUAGUCCUGAUGAGCCAAGUGGCAGAUCUGGGGAGGAAUGUGGAGGAUGCAGCAAAUGAGUGCUGUGGAUCUAAUUACAGAAGCACACAGAUGUCAUCACAAAUACAGCUUUAAGGCCCAGGAUGUAAGUUCAGGGUUUGAAGCCCAGACCUCCGUUGAGAAGGAAAGAAGGAGUAUCAGAUUAAAUCUUUUUGUGUGUAGAAGCUCCCAAAGUAAGUUUUGGUUUGAACUGUGUUUCCCCACAGUAAACUGUAGUUUCAAUGUGUUUGAGAAAACUAACAUAUUUUAUUUUUCCUUGCCAUUUCUUUCUUUCUUUCUUUUCUUGUUUUCUUUUAUUUACAAAAGAAGUCACUUUCUG